rfam:Schistosoma mansoni strain Puerto Rico chromosome 7, complete genome
AUCCAACUGACGAGUCCGAAAUGGGACGAGACGUGCGUCAAACUGGAU